rnacentral:rRNA from 1 species
GACUCUUCGGUACGGAUAUCUCGGCUCUCGCAUCGAUGAUAAACGUAGCUAAAAUGCGAAUCUUGGUGUGAUUUGCAGAAUCCCGUGAACCAUCUAGU